rnacentral:sRNA from 1 species
CCUCCAAUCAAAGGUGCGAAGUUCCGGUUUAAAAAUAUCAAAAUCCACCGCUUGCAAACGAUCUAGCCAGAGGGACGUCGAGACAGCAGGCAUCAGGACACCAAACGAUCUUUCCACCUCUGCCAGCUGUGCGCUGGAAGUUGACAUAUCGCCACCAUUACCACUGCUACUGACAUCAUUGUAUUCAUGUCCCUCUUCCCCUUCAUGCUCAAAAUCAUGGCCUACACCCUGCCCGGCUCGCAGGUUUUUAAGCAUUUGACGGGCGGUGAUGAGAUGAUCACUAGCACGAGUCGCAACAGUGAACACAGCAUCACGAAGCCCUGGGGCUUCCGCACCGUGUCGAAAGACAUCUUCCUCCUUUAGUCCUGUUUCUGCCAUGAUGUCGAGCGGAAGCGUGAUGGUUCCGACCCGAGCGCCAGAACCACCGCCGGCUCCACCGCCCAAGCCCCCAGGUUGGUUCGAGUGAUGGUUUGGGGGGGCCGGGAAAGCAAUUAGUGGUAUCCCCCGUAGCACGGUGGAGAUUCCUGCUGCCUUUCCUAUGUGCGAUGCGAGGUGAUCUGCCGUAACGGAAGUCAGGGGCAGGGCGCUGAGGGUUAGAUAGAGCAGGGUGGAAUAGGUAUUUUCAGCGUAUGACUCCAGCGCAGAUAUGGAUGUGUAAGGCGUGUUUGUAAGGUAUUGUUCGCGCGAGUUUAUCAUCCGCAGGAACCAUCCUUUGCUUAUUCGUGCUUGGCCCCCUGUGCGCGUGUCAAGCUCUGAGAGCGCCGAUGCGAGCAGAUUGGCAAUGGGCUCCUUUGGCGGUUUACCGGCUAGCGUUCGUGUGAUUGUAUCCCGCCAGAAUUGAAGACGCAUCAGUCCGAUUGUCGGGGUCGAGGUGGUGUCGGGGAUCAUGGAGAGGGAAACGUUAAGGGCCCGAACGGCGAGGUAGAAGCUGAGGGUUUGGCGGGGAAUGAACGCACUAAGGGUGAAGGAAGGCCGGUCAUAUUUUCUAGUUUCAAUUAGAUUGCCAUCUUGAUUGAUUCUCAGGGAAACUGAAAGAUCAGUGUUACUCGCCGGAGAAGGUCAAGACAAUAUUUAUGGGACGAUUCAAACUCCGAUUUGGCUGCUGGUAAUGAAUAAUUAGAUGACAGUGUUGCAGAUUUUGAAAAAUGCCGGCCGGUCUGGUAUAAAUUUCCAAGAGAAGUGUGUGUUUGAUGUAUUUUCGGGCGUCGAGCAGCGCAGCGCAGGCAUGCGACAGGUGUCUUAAAGGACAUUUGCACCGUGACAGAUAGCAAGUUGGCGCGG